rnacentral:lncRNA from 1 species
UUAUAAAAAUGGAUCAUCACUUUUAUGGAAAGCCAACUAAACCAAUGUUUUGCUCAACAUGUCAAGCAUUAGGGGACUUUAAUAAAAUAUUGAAAGUGAGUUCCCCAGAGGAGAUGAGCAAUUCAAAAAUAGAAUGUAUGAGAACAGUGCUAAUUGAUACUUCAAAUACGAAUGGCACUCCGUAUCCUUAUGGAUGAGGAAGCGUGUUAUCUGAUGAGAUGACACAAAUCACGCAAUGGGAGUCUCUGGGGCCCAGUGGACAGCAGCUGUGCAGGAUCUGAGGCUGUGGAUGUUAACAACACUGCUCCCUGGGAAUCCACAGGAGAGAUUCGUUCCCUGCCAUGUAGAACCAUGUUGUACAGGAUUUACUGUUGUGAAAGUUUCCCAGAGUUCUGAUAACAAUGGGUAGUCAGAACCUAGAUUAUCUGAACCGAGAUAGAACACUGCACGGAAUGCAGCACUGCACAGCACUGCUCUUGUCUGUUGGGCCCUCCAUGAAGGAGCUAAUUUAUCCACCCUCCCUUCUGUUGAACCAUCAGUGGGUAAUCUCAUGAGCUUAUUUUGGAAUAACUGCUCAGGUGUGUAUCCACUUGGUGGCUUGUCCCCAGGCUCUGAUAAGGUCGUCUCUUAAGGCUGCCCACUCCCUAGCUAUUUUAGAAUCCCUCGUGGAGUUUGUAAGAAAUGCAGAUUCCAGGGCUUACUCCCAAAGACUCUGACCCAGAAGGUCCUGGUGGGGACCAGGAAUUUACGUAUUACCCAAGGCUCCAGGGGAUUCUGAUGUAUAUGGUCUGUGGCCAUCCUUUGAGCAAUGCUAUCUCAGAAGGCUGAUGCCAACAUUUCCUGAUUCCGUCUCCAGCAUCAAUUUUAAAGACGUACUUUUGAUGAAAUGUAAAACAUAAAAAUCCUGAAUUCAUAAGAAUAUGAGACCUCUCUGGCAUUAUCGGAGGUUGCGUAACUCUGGAAUUUGCAACAAAAAGGCAAAUAAAAAGAAUUUAUUGUACCUUUCCUGUAUGAACCGUCUUUCAAGCUACUAAUGGAAUAAAGAGUAUAAUGAAUGAACAUAAGUGGACACUAAAGCCUGUUAGUGAAAGGGUGUGGCUAACUUUAUGAUGGAGGCAUCCAACUGACACCACCUGAAUUCACUGAUGAAGCCUAGAGAAAUGGGACAGCUGUGCCAGCACGUGCCUUGUGAUGUGAUGCACCAGGAAGUAUGAAGUUUUCUUGCCCCAAAAAAUUCAACCUGAAUCUCAUCAAGCCACUUUAUGGGACAUACAGGGGAUCAAGAAACAAGUAAAAUGACACUGAGGGGGAGGCAAUAAGACAAAUCCAGAAUGUGGGUCAUUUUACAGGACAAAUUACCCAAUUUCUACAGCAAAUCAGUAGUCAGGGAAGGGAGGAAGAUGGUAUAAAAGAGAAGAGACUUACGGACAUAGCCAAAUGCUGUGUGGGGCUCUUGUUUGGAUUCUGAUUAUAAGAAACCACCUGUAAAAAGACGGCUUUGAGACCAUCAGGGAAGUCCGAACAUGGACCUGGUGUUAGAUGAUAAUUUAAAAUUAUUGUUAGGUAUGAAUAAUAGCAUUUAGUUAUUUUUAAAACAUUUUUGUCAAUUAGAAAUGCAUACUAAAAUUUUUACAGGUGAUAUGACACAAUGUCUGGAAUUUUCUGGAAAAUGCUUGAGCAAAAAGAAAGGUAGGUGGACAGAUGAAAUGAGAUUGGCAGGGCUGGCCCGAUGGUGCAGCGGUUAAGUGCACAUGUUCCGCUUCUCUGCGGCCUGGGGUUCGCUGGUUCGGAUCCUGGGUGCGGACGUGGCACUGCUUGGCAAAAAGCUAUGCUGUGGUAGACGUCCCACAUAUAAAGUGGAGGAAGAUGGGCACGGAUGUUAGCUCAGGACCAGUCUUCCUCAGCAAAAAGAGGAGGAUUGGCAAUAGUUAGCUCAGGGCUAAUCUUCCUCAAAAAAAAAAAGAAAAGAAAUGAGAUUGGUAACAUAUUGCUAAUUGCUGAAGCCUGAUGCUGGGCGUGCAGAGCUUUACAAUAUUCUCCUUAUUUGGGGGUAUGCUUGAAAUUUUCCAGAAUAAGAAGUCUUUUAAAAUAUACUUUUGCUGUAGACACUCACCCCUUACAAGUCAGGCUAAUGAGUUCCAGAAGUUGAAGUUUUUAUUACUCAAGAAGCAGGAAGUCGAGGUUCUUAUACUCAGGAAGUAAACAUUCUCUUCCCCUGAUAAGGCCCCUAUAAACACCCCUGGAAGGGCAUUGAAAGUCAAAACUCAGUUUUCAUUAUUCUGAAAUCCAUUUUUUCUCUCAUAGCCUGAAAAAAGCACCGGUGGUUUUUUCCUCAGCCACGUUACUCUCUUCUAUAAGAGCUUAAUAAGACACACGGAGAAAAUGGAUCUCCAUUUGCAGAUUUUGCUGCUUGAGAACCAUUAAAAGACCCUUAAGAGCAUCACUCAUCUAUUAAGUGAAAGGGAACUCUUAACAUUAAAUUAGGGGAAAACAACUCUUUCAUACUAGGAGGUUUUGCUGUUUAAAAUACACUAUUUAGAUAAUGAAAAAGAUAAUGAAAAAAUAUUGAAGCAAAAAUGGUUGUACUUUGUUGUAGCAUAUUUCUAGAGGAACAGGAGAGCUCUCUUAGAAAAUCUACACCUUACUUUGUUCUUCAUCACCUAAAAGAAAUGGCUUCAGAUUAAAAUUUCCUGAAUCAAAAAGUACUUUUAUUAAUCUGAGAGCAUUUAUAAAUUGUGAGGUCAGUACUGUAAAAGUCUGUGCAAUGAUUUAAUUCUUAGAGGCUAUUUGGCUUUCAUUACCUUUAAAGCUGAAGUUGGCUAUUUCACUCACUCCAGGAUGGCUAAUUAACAUCCACAACACAAUUCUCUUGGCCGUCAUUCCUUCAAAUGUCUAUCUCCAACCCAGAAGACAUCAGCCAGGAUAUUAGCUUAGGCCCUUUUUAGUAAUUCUAUAAAUAAUAUUUCAACUUUAUGUUUAAAAAAUAAGUCAGUAACCUACCAGUUGCUUUUGUGGCUUUCCUGGGAAAUGUCAAGUGCCAUUAAAAUCAAGAUUUAAGGGGCCGGCCUGGUGGUGCAGUGGUUAAGUGCACAUGUUCUGCUUCUCGGUGGCCCAGAGUUCACCAGUUUGGAUCCCGGGUGCAGACAUGGCACCGCUUGGCA